UACGAAGGGGGCUAGCGUUGUUCGGAAUUACUGGGCGUAAAGCGCGCGCAGGCGGUCUUCCAAGUCAGUGGUGAAAGCCUGGAGCUCAACUCCAGAACUGCCAUUGAAACUGUUAGACUUGAGUACGAGAGAGGUGAGUGGAAUUCCCAGUGUAGAGGUGAAAUUCGUAGAUAUUGGGAAGAACACCAGUGGCGAAGGCGGCUCACUGGACCACAACUGACGCUGAGGCGCGAAAGCUAGGGGAGCAAACAGG
rnacentral:rRNA from 1 species